AGCAUACACAGGCACUCAAAAUGGACAUGUGGUUUUACCUAUGACCAGGCUCUGCAGACAUGGAAAUUUAUGUCCGGAGGGGUGGAAUGCUACAGCACAUAAAACUGAUACAGACAGAGAACCUCGGUAAUUUACAAUUCUUUUUUAUGUGGAGUGAGAGAAAGAGACUAUAAUUUUGCUACUAAUAAAGUUAUCCAUAUUUAUUCUCAAGAUUUGAGGGUUUAUCUUCGUUCAUAUUUCUUGCGGUCGUAACCUUGAAGGCUCUGUGAGAUCGCAGGUUUGUAAUUAGAAAACAGCUCAAUUCGCACGUCUCUUUGGAAACACCGAGAGUUUCAUUCCGCCCUGCAAAAUUUGUCGGUAACCAAGCACGAGAAGAAAGCUCCAUAUAGUCAUUCACCUUCUAAGAAUCGUUUCAGAGGCGCAAGGGAAACACAUACGUGUUUAUGAAAGAACGGAAUAGAGAAAGGGCAGAAGAAAACGAAAGCAAGCGCACGGUCCGCGCCGCAGGAACCCCGGGAAGGCGCGGGAGCCGGCGAGGCUUGUUGCGCACAACAGACGGGAAGCCGCAAUUCGCUGCUGGGCUGCUCACCACGGCCUGCGGCCCGGAUGAGAGCAGGACGCGAGCCGUAGCGGCGGGUUAGGGGCAGGCAGCACCCAACCUCCGGUCCGCCACCCGCUCGUCGUGCCGUCUGUCCGUCACGGGCCCCAGUGCGCAGCGCUCCCGGCUCGCGCGUUUUCUCGGUCCGCCGCCUCCACCUCUGCUCCCGGAGAGCCUGGCCGCGCUGCGGACAAGCCGUUAGUUCACCAGGCCCCAAGUUCACGGGCGCCGCGCGGGUUCCGCUGGCGUGCGCACCAGCUGGGCUCAGGCCCCAGGCUGCGGCGGUGCUGGAAUCCUCGGCCCCGGCUGGAGAGAACACGCCGGGCAACCGUAGGCUCGAGCCCCGGCGGGGGGGCCCCCCUGAGCCUCAAGGCCGCGGGUGAUCCGGGAAGAAACCAAGCGCCCGUUCUCUUUGAUCUGGUUUUAUAGAGAUUUGAUGUUGACAUUAAACUUUGAAUGCUUUUAUCUAUUUCGAUCUCUCUCUUAUUCUUAUUUUGGGCGGGGCCUCCUGUGCCAGAGCUAAGGGCUGGCGAGGGCACGCGGGCGGGACGGGCACCGGGGUCGACAGGGCGGGCACCGUGGUCGGCUGGACGAGCACAGAGGUCGGCGGGCCCAGAGGUGACAUGGCGAUGCGAGAGGAACGCUGGACGUAUCCACCUACCCACAUCCACAUGCAAUUCCCGAUCGCCCCACGUAUCCCUCCGUCCCCCACUCGCACGCCAGACCGCUCUCUCCAUCAGCAACGCCGGCGCGGAAGGCCGAGCAGAAUUGAGACGCCGCGGAGAGACCAAGGCUCGGAGGGGCGCAGAGCGCGGAGACCGGGAGUAACUGGGAGCCGCCGCCGCAACUCCGGUCUCCCUCCGCAGCCUCUGUACCCAUGCCGAGAGGCUCAAUUACUUUCAGGUUAUGGACCCCCCAAUUGGCAGGAAAAGCAGACGAGAAGGCUGAUGGAUUAAAUAAAACAUCCCAGGGUGUCACAGCUCCCUGAAGCCGUCUCUCUUCAUUUCCUCGGCCACAUCCUGUCACAUCUUUGAUACCUCGUGCCUGGACUACUGUCCUAUACACUGUCUUGUCCCCUUCUCCCAUGUCCCUGGGGAAAUAAUGCUACCUCCCUCACAAAGAAUUCGAUAAUGUACUUAAAAUAACUGGCCCAGGGCUUCCCUGGUGGUCCAGUGGUUAAGAAUCUGCCUUACAAUACACGGGACACAGGUUCAAUCCCUGGUCAGGGAACAAAGAUCCCACAUGCCACGGAGCAACUAAGCCCGUGUGCCACAACUAUUGAGCCCAUGCUCUGGAGCCUAAGUG
ensembl:lncRNA